UACGUAGGGGGCAAGCGUUGUCCGGAUUCAUUGGGCGUAAAGGGUGCGUAGGUGGCGCGCUAAGUCAGGUGUGAAAUUUCGGAGCUUAACUCCGAAACUGCAUUUGAUACUGGCGUGCUUGAGGACUGGAGAGGAGACUGGAAUUCAUGGUGUAGCAGUGAAAUGCGUAGAGAUCAUGAGGAAGACCAGUGGCGAAGGCGGGUCUCUGGACAGUUCCUGACACUGAGGCACGAAGGCCAGGGGAGCAAACGGG
rnacentral:rRNA from 1 species